GACGAACGCUGGCGGCGUGCCUAAUACAUGCAAGUCGAACGCUUCUUUCCUCCCGAGUGCUUGCACUCGAGUGGAAAGAGGAGUGGCGGACGGGGGAGUAACACGUGGGUAACCUACCCAUCAGAGGGGGAUGACACUUGGAAACAGGUGCUAAUACCGCAUAACAGUUUAUGCCGCAUGGCAUAAGAGUGAAAGGCGCUUUCGGGUGUCGCUGAUGGAUGGACCCGCGGUGCAUUAGCUAGUUGGUGAGGUAACGGCGCACCAAGGCCACGAUGCAUAGCCGACCUGAGAGGGUGAUCGGCCACACUGGGACUGAGACACGGCCCAGGCUCCUACGGGAGGCCGCAGUAGGGAAUCUUCGGCAAUGGACGAAAGUCUGACCGAGCAGCGCCGCGUGAGUGACGAAGGUCUUCGGAUCGUAAAACUCUGUUGUUAGUGAAGAACAAGGACGUUAGUAACUGAACGUCCCCUGACGGUAUCUAACCAGAAAGCCACGGCUAACUACGUG
rnacentral:rRNA from 1 species